rnacentral:rRNA from 1 species
CAAUAGCGUAUAUUAAAGUUGUUGCAGUUAAAAAGCUCGUAGUUGGAUUUCUGGUGGGAGCGAUCGGUCUGGCGCUUAGCGCGAGUACUUGCAUCGUCUCCGGCCAUCCUUGGGGAGAGUCUGUCUGGCAUUAGGUUGUCGGGCAGAGGAUCUUCAUCGUUUACUGUGAAAAAAUUAGAGUGUUCAAAGCAGGCUUAUGCCGUUGAAUAUAUUAGCAUGGAAUAAUAAGAUAGGACUUUGGUACUAUUUUGUUGGUUUGCGCACCAAAGUAAUGAUUAAUAGGGACAGUUGGGGGUAUUCGUAUUCCGUUGUCAGAGGUGAAAUUCUUGGAUUUACGGAGGACGAACUACUGCGAAAGCAUUUACCAAGGAUGUUUUCAUUAA